CUCUUAAACGUUGAAGUCAAUCAAUGAGUUCCAAAUGCAAUAUUGGAAGUUUUCUUAAAUAUUUUGAUGCUUUUGCAUGUUGUGAAAGAACUUGGUUAGAUGUGAGAAAGGGGUUUAUGAGAUUAGUUACUUACUAUUCCCUUUUUCACUGUCAUUGCUACUCAGUAGAUAUGCUAUGGGCUCGUGUUUCUGUAGAAUAUAAUUCAGAUGCUCUUUCUCUAGAAUAUAAUUUAUAUGUUCUCUCUACAAAUUUGAAGUAAUUUCUACUGUUUUUGCUAAUAAUUUAUAUAUUAUAGAGUUAAAUUUAACACAGUUAAUCAUCUUAAGCAUUUGACUCUGGUGUUCUUAAGAUAUAAAUUCAAAUCCCUAUAAUUUUAUCAUCUUGAUCUUUUCAAUCGUCUCACAUACCGUCUUCAUUUCAUAAUCUUGCCUACUAGCUGCGUAUCAUCAAUGAAAUUACCAUAGGAGUCCACAUGUGGUAAUUAUGGAUCUAGCACGAUAUACUGCGUAUCAUGUUGUUGGAGAUCAUUUUAAAUGAUUAACCAGUCUAUUGGUGGUUUGAGUCUUUCCUUUUGAAUCUAUAGGUUGUUCAAUGGUCUAAUAUUAACUAUGUUUAGAUUUAUGGUAAUUUUCAUUCUUUUACAGCCUUAAUAACCAAGGAAAUGUGUGCUUUGAUAAUCUUUUCUUUCUCUUCAGCAGGUUGGUAAUGUAGAAAGGAUACAUGUAUACUAUGCCCACGGACUAGAUAGCCCAACCUUUGUUCGCCGGUGUUAUUGGCUCCUAGAUAAGACCUUUGAACACAUUGUCCUUGUUCAUUACCGUGAAACACAAGAGUUUCAGAAUUUUCCAUCCACAUCGUUGAACUCAAAUUCUGGUUCUGUCUCUAACCCAUCAACUCCGUGGCUUUUAUCGGAGGAACUUGAUUCCAAGGCUACUCAUGUUUAUUCUCUUGGUGAA